UACAGAGGGGGCAAGCGUUGUUCGGAUUUACUGGGCGUAAAGGGUGCGUAGGAGGUUGGCAAAGUCGGAUGUGAAAUCUCACCGCUUAACGGUGAAAUUGCGUUCGAUACUGGUUGACUAGAGUAUCGGAGGGGAAAGCGGAAUUCCUGGUGUAGCGGUGAAAUGCGUAGAUAUCAGGAGGAACACCAACGGCGAAGGCAGCUUUCUGGACGAUAACUGACUCUGAGGCACGAAGGCUAGGGGAGCGAACGGG
rnacentral:rRNA from 1 species